GCUUACAGCCAUACCAGCCUGAAUGUUCCUGAUCUCAUCUGAUCCAAGCAGGGUUGGGUCUGGUUAGUACUUGGAUGGGAUCCACCUGGGAAUACCAGGUGCUGUAAGCU
rnacentral:rRNA from 1 species